rnacentral:rRNA from 1 species
UACGUAGGUGGCAAGCGUUAUCCGGAAUUAUUGGGCGUAAAGAGGGAGCAGGCGGCAGCAAAGGUCUGUGGUGAAAGACUGAAGCUUAACUUCAGUAAGCCAUAGAAACCGGGCAGCUAGAGUGCAGGAGAGGAUCGUGGAAUUCCAUGUGUAGCGGUGAAAUGCGUAGAUAUAUGGAGGAACACCAGUGGCGAAGGCGGCCUGCUGGACGGUGACUGACGCUGAGGCUCGAAAGCGUGGGGAGCAAACAGG